rnacentral:rRNA from 1 species
AUUGAACGCUGGCGGCAGGCCUAACACAUGCAAGUCGAACGGUAGCACAGAGAGCUUGCCCUCGGGUGACGAGUGGCGGACGGGUGAGUAACGUCUGGGAAACUGCCCGAUGGAGGGGGAUAACUACUGGAAACGGUAGCUAAUACCGCAGAACGUCGCAAGACCAAAGUGGGGGACUGUAGGGACUCACGCCAUCGGAUGGGCCCAGAUGGGAUUAGCUAGUAGGUGGGGUAAUGGCUCACCUAGGCAACGAUCCCUAGCUGGUCUGGGAGGAUGACCAGCCACACUGGAACUGAGACACGGUCCAGACUCCUACGGGAGGCAGCAGUGGGGAAUAUUGCACAAUGGGCGCAAGCCUGAUGCAGCCAUGCCGCGUGUAUGAAGAAGGCCUUCGGGUUGUAAAGUACUUUCAGCGGGGAGGAAGGCGGUGAAGUUAAUAGCUUCACCGAUUGACGUUACCCGCAGAAGAAGCACCGGCUAACUCCGUGCCAGCAGCCGCAGUAA